UACGUAGGGGGGCAAGCGUUGUCCGGAAUCAUUGGGCGUAAAGAGCGUGUAGGCGGCCAGAUAAGUCCGCUGUGAAAUCUCGAGGCUCAACUUCGAGCUGUCGGUGGAAACUGUCUGGCUAGAGUCCGGAAGAGGAGAAUGGAAUUCCUGGUGUAGCGGUGAAAUGCGCAGAUAUCAGGAAGAACACCCGUGGCGAAGGCGGUUCUCUGGGACGGUACUGACGCUGAGACGCGAAAGCGUGGGGGAGCGAACAGG
rnacentral:rRNA from 1 species